rnacentral:misc_RNA from 1 species
GUGAAUCAUCAAAUCUUUGAACGCACAUUGCACUUCCUGGCAACCCGGGAAGUAUGCCUGUUUGAGGGUCAGUAUUAACAAAAAAUCGGUUUGGUUGCGAAUUAUGACGUUUCCUGGGUCUGAGCGAUCUUAACUUGUUUGGUUGAGGGGCUUAAAAUUGACCUUAUUUGCGCAUUUUUAGACGUUCAUAAAUUUUUUUUUAUUCGUCUUUUCUUAUUGCCAAAUUCAUAUUAGAUGCACACGCAUCG